UACGUAGGUGGCAAGCGUUGUCCGGAGUUAUUGGGCGUAAAGCGCGCGCAGGCGGUGUGGUAAGUCCAUGGUGAAAGCGCCCGGCUUAACUGGGCGAGUGCCGUGGGGACUGCCACGCUGGAGGGAAGCAGAGGCGAGUGGAAUUCCGGGUGUAGUGGUGAAAUGCGUAGAGAUCCGGAGGAACACCAGUGGCGAAGGCGGCUCGCUGGGCUUUACCUGACGCUGAGGCGCGAAAGCGUGGGGAGCGAACCGG
rnacentral:rRNA from 1 species